UACGGAGGGUGCAAACGUUAAUCGGAAUUACUGGGCGUAAAGCGCGCGUAGGCGGUUUGGUAAGUGGGAUGUGAAAGCCCCGGGCUUAACCUGGGAACUGCAUUCCAAACUGCCAAGCUAGAGUUUGGUAGAGGGAGGUGGAAUUUCCUGUGUAGCGGUGAAAUGCGUAGAUAUAGGAAGGAACACCAGUGGCGAAGGCGGCCUCCUGGACCAAAACUGACGCUGAGGUGCGAAAGCGUGGGGAGCAAACAGG
rnacentral:rRNA from 1 species